rnacentral:rRNA from 1 species
CCUACGGGAGGUAGCAGUGGGGAAUUUUGGACAAUGGGCGAAAGCCUGAUCCAGCCAUUCCGCGUGCAGGAUGAAGGCCCUCGGGUUGUAAACUGCUUUUGUACGGAACGAAAAGCCUUCUUCUAAUACAGGAGGGUCAUGACGGUACCGUAAGAAUAAGCACCGGCUAACUACGUGCCAGCAGCCGCGGUAAUACGUAGGGUGCAAGCGUUAAUCGGAAUUACUGGGCGUAAAGCGUGCGCAGGCGGUUAUGUAAGACAGAUGUGAAAUCCCCGGGCUCAACCUGGGAACUGCAUUUGUGACUGCAUAGCUAGAGUACGGUAGAGGGGGAUGGAAUUCCGCGUGUAGCAGUGAAAUGCGUAGAUAUGCGGAGGAACACCGAUGGCGAAGGCAAUCCCCUGGACCUGUACUGACGCUCAUGCACGAAAGCGUGGGGAGCAAACAGGAUUAGAUACCCCGGUAGUCCACGCCCUAAACGAUGUCAACUGGUUGUUGGGUCUUCACUGACUCAGUAACGAAGCUAACGCGUGAAGUUGACCGCCUGGGGAGUACGGCCGCAAGGUUGAAACUCAAAUGAAUUGACGG